rnacentral:rRNA from 1 species
GACGAACGCUGGCGGCGUGCUUAACACAUGCCAGUCGAACGAAGCUUGAUUACGGAUUCUUCGGAUGAAGUAUGAUAUGACUGAGUGGCGGACGGGUGAGUAACGCGUGAGUAACCUGCCCUUCAGAGGGGGAUAGCGUUUGGAAACGAACGGUAAUACCGCAUAAUGUAUUUUGACCGCAUGAUCGAAAUACCAAAGAUUUAUCGCUGAAGGAUGGACUCGCGUCUGAUUAGGUAGUUGGUGGGGUAACGGCCUACCAAGCCGACGAUCAGUAGCCGGACUGAGAGGUUGAGCGGCCACAUUGGGACUGAGACACGGCCCAGAAUCCUACGGGAGGCAGCAGUGGGGAAUAUUGCACAAUGGGCGCAAGCCUGAUGCAGCAACGCCGCGUGAAGGAAGACGGUUUUCGGAGUGUAAACUUCUGUUCUUAGUGAAGAAUAAUGACGGUAGCUAAGGAGCAAGCCACGGCUAACUACGUG